GGGUUGUGAGGUUAAGCGACUAAGCGUACACGGUGGAUGCCCUGGCAGUCAGAGGCGAUGAAGGACGUGCUAAUCUGCGAUAAGCGUCGGUAAGGUGAUAUGAACCGUUAUAACCGGCGAUUUCCGAAUGGGGAAACCCAGUGUGUUUCGACACACUAUCAUUAACUGAAUCCAUAGGUUAAUGAGGCGAACCGGGGGAACUGAAACAUCUAAGUACCCCGAGGAAAAGAAAUCAACCGAGAUUCCCCCAGUAGCGGCGAGCGAACGGGGAGCAGCCCAGAGCCUGAAUCAGUGUGUGUGUUAGUGGAAGCGUCUGGAAAGGCGCGCGAUACAGGGUGACAGCCCCGUACACAAAAAUGCACAUGCUGUGAGCUCGAUGAGUAGGGCGGGACACGUGGUAUCCUGUCUGAAUAUGGGGGGACCAUCCUCCAAGGCUAAAUACUCCUGACUGACCGAUAGUGAACCAGUACCGUGAGGGAAAGGCGAAAAGAACCCCGGCGAGGGGAGUGAAAAAGAACCUGAAACCGUGUACGUACAAGCAGUGGGAGCCUCUUUUAUGGGGUGACUGCGUACCUUUUGUAUAAUGGGUCAGCGACUUAUAUUCUGUAGCAAGGUUAACCGAAUAGGGGAGCCGAAGGGAAACCGAGUCUUAACUGGGCGUUAAGUUGCAGGGUAUAGACCCGAAACCCGGUGAUCUAGCCAUGGGCAGGUUGAAGGUUGGGUAACACUAACUGGAGGACCGAACCGACUAAUGUUGAAAAAUUAGCGGAUGACUUGUGGCUGGGGGUGAAAGGCCAAUCAAACCGGGAGAUAGCUGGUUCUCCCCGAAAGCUAUUUAGGUAGCGCCUCGUGAAUUCAUCUCCGGGGGUAGAGCACUGUUUCGGCAAGGGGGUCAUCCCGACUUACCAACCCGAUGCAAACUGCGAAUACCGGAGAAUGUUAUCACGGGAGACACACGGCGGGUGCUAACGUCCGUCGUGAAGAGGGAAACAACCCAGACCGCCAGCUAAGGUCCCAAAGUCAUGGUUAAGUGGGAAACGAUGUGGGAAGGCCCAGACAGCCAGGAUGUUGGCUUAGAAGCAGCCAUCAUUUAAAGAAAGCGUAAUAGCUCACUGGUCGAGUCGGCCUGCGCGGAAGAUGUAACGGGGCUAAACCAUGCACCGAAGCUGCGGCAGCGACGCUUAUGCGUUGUUGGGUAGGGGAGCGUUCUGUAAGCCUGCGAAGGUGUGCUGUGAGGCAUGCUGGAGGUAUCAGAAGUGCGAAUGCUGACAUAAGUAACGAUAAAGCGGGUGAAAAGCCCGCUCGCCGGAAGACCAAGGGUUCCUGUCCAACGUUAAUCGGGGCAGGGUGAGUCGACCCCUAAGGCGAGGCCGAAAGGCGUAGUCGAUGGGAAACAGGUUAAUAUUCCUGUACUUGGUGUUACUGCGAAGGGGGGACGGAGAAGGCUAUGUUGGCCGGGCGACGGUUGUCCCGGUUUAAGCGUGUAGGCUGGUUUUCCAGGCAAAUCCGGAAAAUCAAGGCUGAGGCGUGAUGACGAGGCACUACGGUGCUGAAGCAACAAAUGCCCUGCUUCCAGGAAAAGCCUCUAAGCAUCAGGUAACAUCAAAUCGUACCCCAAACCGACACAGGUGGUCAGGUAGAGAAUACCAAGGCGCUUGAGAGAACUCGGGUGAAGGAACUAGGCAAAAUGGUGCCGUAACUUCGGGAGAAGGCACGCUGAUAUGUAGGUGAAGUCCCUCGCGGAUGGAGCUGAAAUCAGUCGAAGAUACCAGCUGGCUGCAACUGUUUAUUAAAAACACAGCACUGUGCAAACACGAAAGUGGACGUAUACGGUGUGACGCCUGCCCGGUGCCGGAAGGUUAAUUGAUGGGGUCAGCGCAAGCGAAGCUCUUGAUCGAAGCCCCGGUAAACGGCGGCCGUAACUAUAACGGUCCUAAGGUAGCGAAAUUCCUUGUCGGGUAAGUUCCGACCUGCACGAAUGGCGUAAUGAUGGCCAGGCUGUCUCCACCCGAGACUCAGUGAAAUUGAACUCGCUGUGAAGAUGCAGUGUACCCGCGGCAAGACGGAAAGACCCCGUGAACCUUUACUAUAGCUUGACACUGAACAUUGAGCCUUGAUGUGUAGGAUAGGUGGGAGGCUUAGAAGUGUGGACGCCAGUCUGCAUGGAGCCGACCUUGAAAUACCACCCUUUAAUGUUUGAUGUUCUAACGUGGACCCGUGAUCCGGGUUGCGGACAGUGUCUGGUGGGUAGUUUGACUGGGGCGGUCUCCUCCUAAAGAGUAACGGAGGAGCACGAAGGUUGGCUAAUCCUGGUCGGACAUCAGGAGGUUAGUGCAAUGGCAUAAGCCAGCUUGACUGCGAGCGUGACGGCGCGAGCAGGUGCGAAAGCAGGUCAUAGUGAUCCGGUGGUUCUGAAUGGAAGGGCCAUCGCUCAACGGAUAAAAGGUACUCCGGGGAUAACAGGCUGAUACCGCCCAAGAGUUCAUAUCGACGGCGGUGUUUGGCACCUCGAUGUCGGCUCAUCACAUCCUGGGGCUGAAGUAGGUCCCAAGGGUAUGGCUGUUCGCCAUUUAAAGUGGUACGCGAGCUGGGUUUAGAACGUCGUGAGACAGUUCGGUCCCUAUCUGCCGUGGGCGCUGGAGAACUGAGGGGGGCUGCUCCUAGUACGAGAGGACCGGAGUGGACGCAUCACUGGUGUUCGGGUUGUCAUGCCAAUGGCACUGCCCGGUAGCUAAAUGCGGAAGAGAUAAGUGCUGAAAGCAUCUAAGCACGAAACUUGCCCCGAGAUGAGUUCUCCCUGACCCUUUAAGGGUCCUGAAGGAACGUUGAAGACGACGACGUUGAUAGGCCGGGUGUGUAAGCGCAGCGAUGCGUUGAGCUAACCGGUACUAAUGAACCGUGAGGCUUAACCUUACAACGCCGAAGCUGUU
rnacentral:rRNA from 1 species